GACGAACGCUGGCGGCGUGCUUAACACAUGCAAGUCGAACGGAAAGGCCCCAGCUUGCUGGGGUACUCGAGUGGCGAACGGGUGAGUAACACGUGGGUGAUCUGCCCUGCACUCUGGGAUAAGCCUGGGAAACUGGGUCUAAUACCGGAUAGGACCGUGCUUUAGUGUGUGCGGUGGAAAGUUUUUCGGUGCAGGAUGAGCCCGCGGCCUAUCAGCUUGUUGGUGGGGUAAUGGCCUACCAAGGCGGCGACGGGUAGCCGGCCUGAGAGGGUGUACGGCCACAUUGGGACUGAGACACGGCCCAGACUCCUACGGGAGGCAACAGUGGGGAAUAUUGCACAAUGGGCGCAAGCCUGAUGCAGCGACGCCGCGUGGGGGAUGACGGCCUUCGGGUUGUAAACCCCUUUCGGCAGGGACGAAGCUUUUGUGACGGUACCUGCAUAAGAAGCACCGGCUAACUACGU
rnacentral:rRNA from 1 species